UACGUAGGGUCCGAGCGUUGUCCGGAAUUAUUGGGCGUAAAGGGCUCGUAGGCGGUCUGUCACGUCGGGAGUGAAAAACACGGGGCUUAACCCCGUGCCUGCUUCCGAUACGGGCAGACUAGAGGUAUGCAGGGGAGAACGGAAUUCCUGGUGUAGCGGUGAAAUGCGUAGAUAUCGUGAGGAAGACCAGUGGCGAAGGCGGGUCUCUGGACAGUUCCUGACGCUGAGGCGCGAAGGCCAGGGGAGCAAACGGG
rnacentral:rRNA from 1 species